rnacentral:piRNA from 1 species
UCUUCUCUAUUCUCUUUUUUG